GGCGCGCAAAUUACCCACUCCCGGCACGGGGAGGUAGUGACGAAAAAUAACGAUACGGGACUCAUCCGAGGCCCCGUAAUCGGAAUGAGAACAAUUUAAAUCCUUUAACGAGGAUCAAUUGGAGGGCAAGUCUGGUGCCAGCAGCCGCGGUAAUUCCAGCUCCAAUAGCGUAUAUUAAAGUUGUUGCGGUUAAAAAGCUCGUAGUCGAAUCUGUGUCCCGCUCCGCCGGUUCGUCGCUCGCGGCGUUUAACUGGCGUGUCAGCGGGACGUCCUGCCGGUGGGCUUAGCUCUUUCACGAGGGCGGCCCAAUCUUAAUCCCGCCGCGGUGCUCUUCACCGAGUGUCGAGGCGGGCCGGCACGUUUACUUUGAACAAAUUAGAGUGCUUAAAGCAGGCUAAAACUUCGCCUGAAUACUUCGUGCAUGGAAUAAUGGAAUAGGACCUCGGUUCUAUUUUGUUGGUUUUCGGAACUCCGAGGUAAUGAUUAAUAGGAACGGAUGGGGGCAUUCGUAUUGCGACGUUAGAGGUGAAAUUCUUGGAUCGUCGCAAGACGGACAGAAGCGAAAGCAUUUGCCAAAAACGUUUUCAUUGAUCAAGAACGAAAGUUAGAGGUUCGAAGGCGAUCAGAUACCGCCCUAGUUCUAACCAUAAACGAUGCCAGCUAGCGAUCCGCCGACGUUCCUCCGAUGACUCGGCGGGCAGCUUCCGGGAAACCAAAGCUUUUGGGUUCCGGGGGAAGUAUGGUUGCAAAGCUGAAACUUAAAGGAAUUGACGGAAGGGCACCACCAGGAGUGGAGCCUGCGGCUUAAUUUGACUCAACACGGGAAACCUCACCAGGCCCGGACACCGGAAGGAUUGACAGAUUGAGAGCUCUUUCUUGAUUCGGUGGGUGGUGGUGCAUGGCCGUUCUUAGUUGGUGGAGCGAUUUGUCUGGUUAAUUCCGAUAACGAACGAGACUCUGGCCUGCUAACUAGGCGUAUUUCCGACAUCUCGAAGGCCCGCCGGCUCGGCGUGCUCGUCACGCCUUGUCGCGCGCGGUUUUUACUGUCGGCGUACAAACAAUUCUUCUUAGAGGGACAGGCGGCUUCUAGCCGCACGAGAUAGAGCAAUAACAGGUCUGUGAUGCCCUUAGAUGUUCUGGGCCGCACGCGCGCUACACUGAAGGAAUCAGCGUGUCCUCCCUGGCCGAGCGGCCCGGGUAACCCGCUGAACCUCCUUCGUGCUAGGGAUUGGGGCUUGAAAUUGUUCCCCAUGAACGAGGAAUUCCCAGUAAGCGCGAGUCAUAAGCUCGCGUUGAUUACGUCCCUGCCCUUUGUACACACCGCCCGUCGCUACUACCGAUUGAAUGAUUUAGUGAGGUCUUCGGACCGGCACGCGGUGGCGUUUCGACGUCGCCGAUGCUGCUGGAAAGAUGACCAAACUUGAUCAUUU
rnacentral:rRNA from 1 species